GGUGUAGUGGUUUAAACAUUGGACUUUGACUCUGGAUACCAGGGUUCAAUUCCCUGCUCAGUCA
rnacentral:tRNA from 1 species